rnacentral:rRNA from 1 species
AUUGAACGCUAGCGGGAUGCCUUACACAUGCAAGUCGAACGGAGUGGCGAACGGGUGAGUAAUGUAUCGGAACGUGCCCAGUAGCGGGGGAUAACUACGCGAAAGCGUAGCUAAUACCGCAUACUAUUGGAGCGGCCGAUAUCGGAUUAGCUAGGUGGUGGGGUAACGGCUCACCAAGGCGACGAUCCGUAGCUGGUUUGAGAGGACCACCAGCCAACCUGAAACUGAGGCGCGGCCCAGACUCCUGCGAGAGGCAGCAGUGGUGAAUUUUGGACAAUGGGGGAAACCCUGAUCCAGCCAUCCCGCGUGAGUGAAGAGGGUUUUCGGAUCGUAAGACUCUGUUGUUAGAGAAGCGGUAUCUAACCAGAAAGCCACGGCUAACUACGUGCCAGCAGCCGCGGUAAUAC